rnacentral:rRNA from 1 species
AAACCGUUCAGGGGUAAACCUAAGAAACCCAAAAGAUCGAACGGGGAGAUUCAUCGUCAGCGACGCUGGCUUCGCGUCGGUGGGCGAUGUCCCGCGGGGCCUCGCGGCUCGCGCGCGGACACGCUGCCGUGCGUCGAUGUCCGGCGUGCGUCGUCGUGCACUUCUCCCCUAGUAGAACGUCGCGACCCGCUGGGUGUCGGUCUACGGCCCGGGUGCGGUGACUGACGCGUCGCCGGUAAAACGGCACGCGUCAAACCCCCGGUCGCCCGGCCGGCUGCCCGGCGGUACACGCAAGGUAUCAGGCCGCACGCUCCCACGCUUGCGCGCGCGCGCGCUCUCUCCGCUCCACCAUAGGUGGGGAGGGUGUGUGUGCCGCGAGUGAGUAGAGUGCGUCGAGGCCGUCGCAAGCGCGCGCCACGGUACACGGAGGUAACGGACCUAGCGCCGUCACCGGUCCUGGCCCGCUGUUGGUCGUACGGUUAACCUUCGACAGGCCAACGAACGUCCCCGUCCCGUCCCCCCGGUUGUCCGGGUGGGAUCGCGCGGCGGGGACCCAUACCGGUCGGCGACGCUACUGCUUUGGGUACUCUUAGGA